rnacentral:tRNA from 1 species
AGAAACUUAGGUUAACACCAAACCAAGAGCCUUCAAAGCCCAAAACAGAGGAUUUUUCCCCCUAGUUUCUG